UACAGGGGGGGCAAGCGUUGUUCGGAAUUACUGGGCGUAAAGGGCUCGUAGGCGGCCAACUAAGUCCAACGUGAAAUCCCAAAGCUUAACUUUGGAACUGCGUCGGAUACUGGAUGGCUUGAAUUCGGGAGAGGGAUGCAGAAUUCCAGGUGUAGCGGUGAAAUGCGUAGAUAUCUGGAGGAAUACCGGUGGCGAAGGCGGCAUCCUGGACCGACAUUGACGCUGAUGAGCGAAAGCUAGGGGAGCAAACGGG
rnacentral:rRNA from 1 species